rnacentral:lncRNA from 1 species
CGAUCCUAAGGUCCACAGCAUCGUGGAGAAAGCUGUGAGAAGCAUUCCGGGCGAGCAGUCCAAUGAGCCCCGUAGCAACCUGCUCAGCCCAUCUCAGGUGGUGGUGGAGGUGGUGCCCAGGCUCCUCCUGGCCCUGUGGCUUCAGCCAGAGGAAGGCCAUUCAGAGCACCCAAUCCUAAUAAGCGGGAUGGCCGUGGGCAUGGUGGCGGCCGUAGUGGAGAAGCUCUCCUGCAUGUUAAAGGACCCUUCCCCUCACAUCCCUUUCUCCCGGGCUGCUGCUUUUGACUCUGUGCGGUCGAUCCUCGGGAGAAUCAGGCAGUCCAUCUCCACAGAUGACCUGCAGAGCCCUUUUUAUAUGAGCUCUGUCUGUGGCUUUGUGGCUGACGAGGUGCAGAGCUGCUUCCAGCCCCCUGCAGCCACCCUACCAGUCCCCCCUGUCCUCGCAGUGGCCGUUUCCACCACACUACCAGCUGGCAUCCAAGCAGGUGAGUAGAAAUGAUAGAGAGCACUCUGACAGAUGCCUGUUCUGAUGACAUCUUGGUGCCUUGUAGUAGUAGAGCUCAUCAGGAUUGUUGUUUUCACCCACAAUACAGACCCGGCUUCUUCCCACCUGGAGGUUCAAGACAUCACCACUAGCACAGAGGCAGAUCCGGCUUCUUCCCACCUGGAGGUUGUGGACAUCACCACUAACACAGAGGCAGAUCCGGCUUCUUCCCACCUGGAGGUUCAAGACAUCACCACUAACACAGAGACAGAUCCGGGUUCUUCCCACCUGGAGGUUCAGGACAUCACCACUAACACAGAGGCAGAUCCGGCUUCUUUCCACCUGAAUGUGGUGGACAUCACCCCUAAUACAGAGGCAGAGCCCAUCUCUUCCCUCUUGGAGGUUGUGGACGUCACACCUGAAGAAAGGACUCUCACGAUGGCUGCCUUCGCCACUCUGCCAGCUGACAUCCAAGCAGAGGAUGUUGCUGUGGUCAUCCCGGAUGUCACCCCACACGUCACCAAGGAUGUGACACUGGAUGUUCCAUGCAGAGCUAGAAAAGGGGCAGUCCGUCGAUUAUUUUGCAGACUUUGGAGGGCAGUGUGCUGCUGCGCCUGCCACAAGGAAGAGGACGAACAAUAUUAAUUAUUCAUCACACCUGCAGAAAAGGGAUUGAACCAUAGAGCAUUAAAUUAUUCACAUUAUAAUUGAACUUAAUUUCUUCUGUUUACUACUUAAUUUCAGAAACUUUUCUAUAAACUUUCACUUUGCAAGUGUGGAGUAGGUUGUGUAAAUAAGUGGGACACAUCCCAAUUUUGAUGCUUUGAAUAAUUUACUUUGUACAUUUAAAAAAAACAUGUCUUAUUUGACAACAAAAAACGGAGGGCGCUCAACCAACGUUGAGUUGAGGUGCAACCAAAUAUUUGAAUCAUCAUAGAAAAGGAAAAAGCCCAACUCUUGCUCACUAUAAAAAAUGCAUUGUUUUAUUCAAGCAAGGUUAAAAGAUUAACGUUUCGGCCUAGUCUUUGACGAUAUGCAAGUUCUGUUUGCCCAGUAAAAGGGUGACCCAGACUCACCCUGGUUCUUGAGGGUUGAAGACAGUGAAAAAUGAUCAUUAAGUAAAUGGGACUUUUCAAUUAUUGAAUAAAAAUCUUUAAUGAACAUGAAUUUAAAUACAAUUGACUUGAGGAUUUAGAGCAGGCAGGCUGACUGGCUAGCCCUGAAAGCCCUCUGCCUCUACCUCUGUGUGGUUCAUCUCAACCAAGAGCUUGUGUGGGUUGUCUUUCUCUGUGGGUGUGAAUCACUAUGACCUCUCCCUCUGCCUGCCAUUUGGCUGAUCAGAAGCCUUCUGCUCUUUCUUGCUCACAUGAACAGGAGGAAUGGCCUCUGGGGUAACCUCCUCCAUCUAUCUAAUGCCUCUUCCACCUCCACUUUCUGUCUGUGUUUGAUUGAGGUCACUCGUUCUCUCUCACUGGGUAUUGGAUAGUUCCUCCUCCUCUGUGUCUUUGUGAGGGUGGAGGGAGUUAUCCUGUUCCGGCUCCCUCUAAGGGUGUGCAUCAUAAACUAUUUCGGUGUGUUGAGGGGUUCAGUGGUUUUGGAGGGAGUCUGAAGUUCGAUCUCUAGCGAUAAGUGUAGGGGCUGUCCCGUGGUGGUGUCCCCCUCCCUCCAAAGGAGGAGCAACUGAGACAUGUGAUGAGGCCAAGGAAGAUCACUCUGCAAGGACGGGAUAGGACACAUCACAACACUGCAGCUCAUUCAUAUUCAAACACACCUCAGAGUACGGACACAAACAUGGACGCCCCCCCCCCUCCCCCCCCCCCCACACAUAGACAAUGAAUUUACCUGUACAUAUCAGAAUCAUACAUUCUACCCCCACAAGUAUUGAUCCCCCACCUCAAACAUGUUGAGUCAAUUCCAGAUGCUGGAAUCCACCAAGGGGGGGAAACUCAAUAGGAAGGUGUUCUUAAUGUGUUGUUCACUCAGUGUAGAUCAUUCCCUAGCAUAUACUUUCAUUUGUAUGCGUACUGAUACUGUAAAUACACAAA